AAUUAAAAAGCGCCAGAUCUUAAUUUUAAAUAUAAAAAUUAUAUUAAAUAUAAAAAUUAUAUUAAAUAUAAGAUGACGAGGAAAAAGAGUUAUCGAAAAUUCGGCGGAUGCUCUUUAGGUUAUCACAACCUUAAUAAUACACAAAACUAUUAAGAAAUUAUAGCACAAAAGU
rnacentral:ncRNA from 1 species